rnacentral:tRNA from 1 species
GAGGGUAUAGCUUAAUGGUAGAGUAUAUGCUUAGCAUGCACGAGGUCCUGGUUUCAAUCCCUAGUAUCUCUA